ACCGGCCUACGGGAGGCAGCAGUAGGGAAUAUUGCUCAAUGGGGGAAACCCUGAAGCAGCAACGCCGCGUGGUGGAUGAAGGUUUUCGGAUUGUAAACUCCUUUUGUUAGAGAAGAUAAUGACGGUAUCUAACGAAUAAGCACCGGCUAACUCCGUGCCAGCAGCCGCGGUAAUACGGAGGGCGCAAGCGUUACUCGGAAUCACUGGGCGUAAAGAGCGCGUAGGCGGGAUAGCAAGUCAGAUGUGAAAUCCU
rnacentral:rRNA from 1 species